GGGGUUGUGGCUCAGUGGUAGAGUGCUUGCCUAGCAUGCAUAAGGCACUGGGUUCAAUCCCCAGCAUCACAU
rnacentral:tRNA from 1 species